rnacentral:rRNA from 1 species
UACGGAGGGAGCUAGCGUUGUUCGGAAUUACUGGGCGUAAAGCGCACGUAGGCGGCUUUGUAAGUUAGAGGUGAAAGCCCGGGGCUCAACCCCGGAAUUGCCUUUAAGACUGCAUCGCUUGAAUCCGGGAGAGGUGAGUGGAAUUCCGAGUGUAGAGGUGAAAUUCGUAGAUAUUCGGAAGAACACCAGUGGCGAAGGCGGCUCACUGGACCGGUAUUGACGCUGAGGUGCGAAAGCUUGGGGAGCAAACAGG